ACUAAGGGAAUUCUGAAGUCCCCAAGCCCUACUCUAAUUAAGUGGAUUAACAAGGCACCUUGUGAAAACAGGAGAUUCGCCAUGUGAACGACAUUUUUUUGUUAUCGGAGGCAGCUCUGAAACCUUCAGAAGUAUUUUUGAAGGUGAAACAUUCUCGAGCCAACGUUCUCUUUCAUUUCUGAGUCCCCGGGCUGGUCUGCGGUGGCCAAUGUUCAGAAGGUGACAAGAGGUGUCCCCGUUGCUAUUUCUGACAGUCCCCAUCCCUGAGCACAAAGGAGCCAGGCAGCGAGAAAACGAGGAACGUGGGAGCCGCUCUUUAGAACGCAGACAAAAGCCCCGGUUUAAUUAAAUCACUGCACCCAGAGGCCGGUUUAAGAAUCUCCCUGCCCUUCUGCUGCUCCACUGAAUUCAAUCCUGGAAACGGCAGAGCCAGACCCGCCCAGGGCUGUGAUCUCUGUCUCUAAAGAGAUACAGAAAACAGCCAUCCCUUCUCUGACUCAAAACCCAGAGAAUUCAAAGGAACAGCUAUGGAGUUUCUUCUGAGGGGAUUACCGCCACUGUAGGACCAUCAGCAUUGAAAGAACCGUAUUAUAGACGUAUUUAAAGAACAGAGGCCCGACGCAUCAGAAGCAAAACAUUUUUUCCGGAAAAAAAAAAAAAAAAAAAA